rnacentral:lncRNA from 1 species
AAAAAAAAGUUAAUGUGUGUGUGUGUUUGUGUCUGACUGUGUGUGUGUUUGUGUCUGACUGUGUGUGUUUGUGAGUGUGUGUUUGUGUCUGUGUAUGUGUCUGACUGUGUGUGUGUGUUUGUGUCUGACUGUGUUUGUGUCUGUGUAUGUGUCUGACUGUGUGUGUGUAUGUGACUGUGUUUGUGUCUGACUGUGUGUGUGUGUUUGUGUCUGACUGUGUAUGUGUGUGUGUGUGUGUCUGACUGUGUGUGUGUGUGUGUGUUUGUGUCUGACGGUGUAUGUGUCUGACUGUGUGUGUGUUUGUGUAUGUGUCUGACUGUGUGUGUGUUUGUGUCUGACUGUGUGUGUGUGUGUUUGUGUAUGUGUCUGACUGUGUGUGUGUGUGUUUGUGUCUAACUG